UAUGAAAUUCCUAGCCAAAUGGAUGGAC
rnacentral:piRNA from 1 species